CGGGGUGUGGCGCAGUUUGGCUAGCGCGCGUGCCUUGGGAGCACGAGGUCAGCGGUUCAAGUCCGCUCACCCCGACCA
rnacentral:tRNA from 1 species